GACGAACGCUGGCGGCGUGCCUAAUACAUGCAAGUCGAACGCACGAAGUUGAAGAGCUUGCUCUUUAACCAAGUGAGUGGCGGACGGGUGAGUAACACGUGGGUAACCUGCCCAUUAGAGGGGGAUAACAUUCGGAAACGGAUGCUAAUACCGCAUAGUUUCAGGAAUCGCAUGAUUCUUGAAGGAAAGGUGGCUUCGGCUACCACUAAUGGAUGGACCCGCGGCGUAUUAGCUAGUUGGUGAGGUAAUGGCUCACCAAGGCAAUGAUACGUAGCCGACCUGAGAGGGUGAUCGGCCACACUGGGACUGAGACACGGCCCAGACUCCUACGGGAGGCAGCAGUAGGGAAUCUUCCGCAAUGGACGAAAGUCUGACGGAGCAACGCCGCGUGAGUGAAGAAGGUUUUCGGAUCGUAAAACUCUGUUGUUAAAGAAGAACAAGGAUGAGAGUAACUGCUCAUCCCCUGACGGUAUUUAACCAGAAAGCCACGGCUAACUACGUGCCAGCAGCCGCGGUAAUACGUAGGUGGCAAGCGUUGUCCGGAUUUAUUGGGCGUAAAGCGAGCGCAGGCGGUUCUUUAAGUCUGAUGUGAAAGCCCCCGGCUCAACCGGGGAGGGUCAUUGGAAACUGGAGAACUUGAGUGCAGAAGAGGAGAGUGGAAUUCCACGUGUAGCGGUGAAAUGCGUAGAUAUGUGGAGGAACACCAGUGGCGAAGGCGACUCUCUGGUCUGUAACUGACGCUGAGGCUCGAAAGCGUGGGGGAGCAAACAGG
rnacentral:rRNA from 1 species